UUCCUGAAGAAAAUGUGAGUGGUGCUUGCAGUGGCAAAACUCGGCGCCCUGUAGCCACCCAUGAUGCCUGUGUGAUGUUUUGAAGCAGAGAAAGAAGGAUUUAUAUUGCUACAUGGUUGCUAGGGUGCUCUAUAUGGUUGCUAUGGUGUGACUAUAUAGUUUAUGGGGUGAUAUUUAAAGAUUAUUUACCAGCCUGAAUGCAAAAAGCCCAAGCCAGUGUUUCUAUAUAGUUAUUUUUGCUGAGAUACAGCUUUUAAAUGUAGUUAAACAGUUGCUAGGGGGCUAAAAUUGGUUGCUAGGGCAUGGAUAUGAAGUUGUUAUGUCACUACUUAUGGACUGCUUGAUAGGCCGAGUCAAAAGAGCCCUCUCCCAAGCCUCUAUGACUUUCUAAUCCAAAGAUAUGAUGUCAGAUAGUUUUUCCAAUGUUAAGUCAAUGGGAUAUUUUCACACAUUUUCUUCGCCCGCUGUACGAUUAUCGUAAGUCCGAUUGCUUAGAAAAGUCAUAGCACACCUCUCCUCAAUAUCCCGCACGAUUUGACACCUCAUUCAUGGGUCUGUGACAAAAAAUGCGGGAGGAGUAGCGUGCCAAAGUUUUGUCAAGGCGAAUAGUAAUAGUAACACUAGAAGGUACAUUUCCUGAAGAAAAUGUGAGUGGUGCUUGCAGUGGCAAAACUCGCCCCUCUGUUGCUAAGGUGUGGUUGCUAGGGUACCCGGGGUGGUUGCUAGGGUGGUUGCUAUGGUAACCUGGGUGGUUGCUAGGGCCGUUGCUAAGGUACACAAGGUGGUUGCUAGGGUAAUUGGGGCAGUUGCUAGGGUGUUGCUAUGUGGUUGCUAGGGUGCCCGGGUGGUUGCUAGGGCGGUUGCUAGGGUCCCCAAGAUGGUUGCUAGGGCCGUUGCUAGGGUACUCAGGUUGGUUGCUAGGGUAAUCGGGGUGGUUGCUAGGGUGUUGCUAUGUGGUUGCUAGGGUACCCGGGGUGGUUGCUAGGGCGGUUGCUAGGGUCCCCAUGAUGGUUGCUAGGGCCGUUGCUAGGGUACCCAGGUUGGUUGCUAGGGUAAUCGGGGUGGUUGCUAGGGUGUUGCUAUGUGGUUGCUAGGGUACCCGGGGUGGUUGCUAGGGCGGUUGCUAGGGUCCCCAUGAUGGUUGCUAGGGCCGUUGCUAGGGUACCCAGGGUGGUUGCUAGGGUAAUCGGGGUGGUUGCUAAGGUGUUGCUAGGCGGUUGCUAGGGUACCCGGGGUGGUUGCUAGGCAGUUGCUAUGGUCUCCUGGGUGGUUGCUAUGAUGUUACUAGGUGGUUGGUAGUUGUCACAGAUGGUCACUAUGUAGUUAUUAUAGAGUUCUUAGCCCAUUUGAGCACUUAGCUAAUCACUAUUAGCAUGUAGCUAAUCACUGCUAGCAUGACUAGCAUGUUGGAAGUCCAGUGUGCUAGCAUGAGUCAAAAAAUCCAACCGCCAUGUCUGUACGAUGUUCUGAUGCAGAGAUAUAGGUCGUGCAAAACGGUUGCUAGGGUACUCCAUUUGGUUGCUAUGGAGUGGCUUGGCAGCUGCCAAUGGUGAUACUCCAAAGGCUGCUCGCCAAUAUAAACCAACCCCCAUGCCUCUACGAUGUUCUGAUGCAGAGAUAUAGAUCUUGCAAAACGGUUGCUAGGGUACUGUGUUUGGUUGCUAGGGAGUGGCCUGGCAGCUGCCAAUGAUGAUACUCCAAUGGUUGCUCACCAAUAUAAACCAACCCCCAUGCUUCUAUGUCUUUCAGAUGUUAAGAUAUCUAUCUUUGGAUUUAGGUUGCUAGGUAGCUCUUAAUGGUUGCUAGGGCGUGGCUAGGUUGUCUUGAAGGUGAUACGUGAUUGGCUGUUUGCUGCUCGAGUCAAACGAGCCCACCCUCAUGUUUCUAUGACACUUCUAUCCAAAGUUAUUCAUUUGAUCUUUUUCAAUGGAAGUCUAUGGGGCUUGUUGCUAUGGUGCUCUAUAUGGUUGCUAGGGCGUGGCUUGAUAGCUUCAUAAUGAUCCUGAGAGUCUGAUUGGUUGCUUGAUUCAAAUGAGCCCACCCCCUUGUCUCUAUGACACUGUGAUGCCGAGUUAUGUUCAAUACAAAAUCCCUAUGUAAUGUCCCAUAGCAGGAAAAGUCCUCCCUAUACUUUGUAUUAGGGCCAUUUUUGGGGGGCUCUCGCGCCCCAGGGGUACAACUUAUACCCCACUGUGGGGUAUGUUCUCGCACAGCCUGAUAGCCUCUCCAAAUGUGGAGUUUCACGUGUUUCUGCGAAAUUCCCUCUCGGAGCUAUGAUCCGUCAAAGUUGGCCGCAAUGCAUUCUCUAUGCGAUUUUUCGCCCGUUUUUUCGCCCGGUGUACGAACAUCGUACGCCCGAUCGCUUAUAAAAGUCAUAGCACACCAUUCCCGAUUAGGCCGCACGAUUUGACGCCUGUUUCGUUGGUCUGUGAUGAAAACUGCGGGACUAGUUACGCGCCGAAAUUUGUACGGAUCUAGUAUAAUAAUAAUAAUAAUAAGUAUGAAGAAUAGUAAUAGUGAUGCCUUGCCUCCGGCAAGCACCACUAACUAGAAGGUACAUUUCCUGAAGAAAAUGUGAGUGGUGCUUGCAGUGGCAAAACUCGCCCCUCUGUUGCUAGGGUGUUGCAAUGAGGUUGCUAUGGUGGUUACUAGGGUGGUUGCUAGGGUCCACAUGAUGGUUGCUAAGGUACCAAGGGUGGUUGCUAGGGUAAUCGGGGUGGUUGCUAGGGUGUUGCUAUGUGGUUGCUAGGGUACCCGGGGUGGUUGCUAGGGCGGUUGCUAGGGUCCCCAUGAUGGUUGCUAGGGCCGUUGCUAGGGUACUCAGGGUGGUUGCUAGGGUGUUGCUAUCUGGUUGCUAGGGUAUCCGGGGUGGUUGCUAGGGCGGUUGCUAGGGUCCCCAUGAUGGUUGCUAGGGCCGUUGCUAAGGUACCCAGGGUGGUUGCUAGGGUAAUCAGGAUGGUUGCUAGGGUGUUGCUAUGUGGUUGCUAGGGUACCCGGGGUGGUUGCUAGGGCGGUUGCUAGGGUCCCCAUGAUGGUUGCUAGGGCCGUUGCUAGGCUACCCAGGGUGGUUGCUAGGGUAAUCGGGGCGGUUGCUAGGGUGUUGCUAUGUGGUUGCUAGGGUACCCGGGGUGGUUGCUAGGGCGGUUGCUAGGGUCCCCAUGAUGGUUGCUAGGGCCGUUGCUAAGGUACCCAGGGUGGUUGCUAGGGUAAUUGGGGCGGUUGCUAGGGUAUUGCUAUGGGGUUGCUAGGGUACCCGGGG